GUUGGAGUAGCGCCUAUUGUAAAGAAGAUGGUGGAAAAUAGACUUAGGUGGUUUGGGCAUGUAGAGAGAAGACCGGUAGACUCUGUAGUGAGGAGAGUAGACCAGAUGGAGAGAAGGCAAACAAUUCGAGGCAGAGGAAGACCCAAAAAUACUAUAAGAGAGGUUAUCAAGAAGGAUCUCGAACUUAAUGAUUUGGAUAGAAGUAUGGUACUUGAUAGAACAUUAUGGCGG
rnacentral:lncRNA from 1 species